ACUCUCAACGGCAGAGAGGGAUUCCUCCCGGUUGGUAAGAGUGUACACUCUCAUUGACUGAGAGCGAUUCCUCUCGGCACUCUCACCGGCCAAGAGGAAUCCCUCUUGGUCAAUGAGAGUGUACACUCUCACCGGCCAAGAAGAAUCCCUAUCGGUUGAUGAGAGU
rnacentral:miRNA from 1 species